ACAUGCACAUUGUUAUUUUACCAGAUGUAUGAAUUAGAUACAGUAAAUUAUUGAAUGACUUAGCCUUCAAUUUUCAUUUACUACAUUGAAUAAUUCUGUUUGAAAACAAUGGAGGUUCCAGGAAAGAGGGAAAUAGAUAAUUUUUCUUGCAAACCAUGUGAAGAAAGUGAUGUGUUGACUCAAGCGGAUGGAUUCUGUACGGAUUGUGAAGAGUAUAUGUGUUCGAGUUGUUUCAAUACACACAAAAAGUAUAAGCUUAAUCGAGAUCACACUUUAAUUGAUUGUAAUGUUGAAAUAACACGGAGAGAAAGUUCAAGUGAAUUUGAGAAAUGCGAGCAACACUUAAACGAAUCAGUGAAGUUUUAUUGUGCACAGCACGAGCAAGUUGGUUGCGGAGAUUGUAUGGUCAUAGGUCAUAGAUCGUGUAAGGUCGAUUAUAUUCUUGAUAAGGCAAAUGAUCUUAAAGGCACAACAGAGCUGGAGUCUUUGACCAAAGGACCGGAAAUAUGCACGACUGAAGCUAAACGAUUAUUGUCGUCAAUAAAGAACAAUAAAGUUCAAGUUGAUGAUAUCAAUGAUAAGUUCAAACAGGAAGUUAACCUGUUUUGGGAAGAGAUAACUACACAAAUUAACAACUUGAGAGAUCGUAUGCUUAAAGAAGGCAAAUGCAUAAAGGACAGAGAUAGUUUGAGUAUGACAAAGUUAGAAGGCGAAACUGAAAGUUUGAUAAGUGAUCUGAAUGUUAUAUCUGAUUUAUUUAAGUCAAAGGUGCAGAGUCCAAGUCAGCUCUUUGUCUGUUCUGUUUCACAAAAACAUAAGUUGGAUCGACUGAUGAAGCAACUUAAUGAUAUCAAAAGCAGAAACAAAAUUGAGCCUUACGAAUUCAUAAAGGAUAGCAAGAUAACUAGCACUUUAGCGAGCCUUGGUCAACUGGAGAGGCUUCAGGAAGUCGAAGAUGUAUUUGAUCAAGAAGAAAUCAUAGAACAAGGAGUUUCAAAAGAGCUGGUAAUCCUUAAAUUAUUUUGUAAAGUUCGGUCCCUUUUUUUGAUUUACAGGUUCCAUUUCUCAAACAUUAUUAUAAAAGGUUUUCAUUUUAAAAAAGGAAUAUUUGUUGUGUAUCAAUUUCUUUGUUUAAUUUUUUGUUAUAGUGCAUUCCUCAAAUUAUAUCAAAGGUGUUCUUUUAAAACGUAUUUAAUGUUAAGGUUAGAUUAAACUUGAAAUAUUGCUUUACCACCAAAAACAGUUACGUCAAGCCUUUUAGCAAAAACACACAAUUAUGAAGAUGCGAUAAUAAAUGUAGAGUUUGUAUCUUAGUAUUUUUAAAUACACAUAGUCGAAAACAUUUUUUUCUUUGUAGACGGUUUCAACACCAUUACUAGAAAGGCAGUUGAUAUGUAGACAUGUGAAAGUGGAUGGCGAAUAUCUCACUUAUGCAGACAAUGAAAACGGAGAGGUUGGACUGUACGUUGACAAGAAUGCAAUAGUGGAUGGAACAUACUUCGAGAUUGAGAUAUUGAGUUUAGGACGGAGUGGAACAAUUGCUCUGGGUUUGGUGCCAUACAAUUACCCAAGAAAUAUGCAGCCUGGAUGGGGAAAGAACUCAAUAGGAUAUCAUGCCGACGAUGGCCGGCUUUAUCACGAAAGUGGAAGCGGCACGGUGUUUGGGCCGAAAUGUCUCGUUGGUGACAAGAUUGGUUGCUGGAUAAACGGAUGUCGUGUACAGCGGUAAAAACUAUUAACACGAAAAUUCAUAUCAACAUUUUAUUUCAUUAGGGGUUAAAGGAAAUCUGGCGGACUUGGGGUCAGAAUUACUGUGAAUGCUGUUUUUACAAGAAAUGGCAAAAAGGUUGGAGAACGGCAAUUUGUCUAUGGCCUCUUUCAUUUAUAUCCUGCCGUUGGGAUGCAUUCUUCUGGAGAGAAGGUCAAAUUUAUUUUUGAGGCAAAGAGGCCUGGUGUAUAAAAACCAAACUUAAUACAUAAUAGUAAUGUUAGUUGACAAGAAUGUAUUUUUAGGCGUUUACUAAAAUUGCGUCUUCUACAGUUGAAGAUUGAUGUAACGAAUUCGGUUAUUUGUUUCAAUAUUUUGAGUAGGGAGUACAUUGCAUAUCAAUUUAGGUAGAAUAUACAUGUUUUGUUCCUUGUAAAGAGAUGGUUUUGAUUUCUAAGUUAAGAUAAUAUGUUGCCAAAGCUGAUACAAGUGACAGUUUUAUAUAUAUCUUACUGUCAGACUCACUUAACUUUUCACUUGUUUUCAUUUUCUAUUCUGUGGGCCAUUUAUAUAUCCAUUGUUUCUAAAACAGAGUGUAAUGUGAAAACUUUACCUUUAUUUCAUAUAAAAUGUAUUACCUUUCAUAUCAUCCGUGUAAGUAUUCUUCUAAAUAACGAAGCUAUGGUCGCAUAUCAAUUUAAACGUCACAUUAUAUUAGUAUAGUUCAUAGAUAUGGCAGGUAUUAUGAUAGAAGACGAACUUAAGAGGAAUACUUUAUUGUGCACUUCAAUUUCUUAAUGUUUAUGAAAAUUUACAAACUUUUAAUUCGGACAAUUUUUUUUUUCAAUCAAAUACUUUUAAUUCACUUUGCAUCAAAUGAAAAGAUAUUUGGAUCCCUCAAUUAAAUAGUUAAAUAACUAUUUUUUAUUAUUAUACCCCCAAAAACGAAGUUUGGGGGGUAUAUAGGAGUCACCCGGUGGUCGGUUGGUCGGUCGGGCGGUCGGUCGGUCGGUCGGUCGGUCCAGACGUCCGUUGCAUUUUCCUUGUCCGGAGCAUAACUUGAAGACUAAUGGUUGGAAUUCAAUAUAACUACAUACAAUGGUCAAGCACAUUGAGAGGAAGUGCAGUGCACAAGAACCAUAACUCUAUCUUGACUAAUUACAGAGUUAUUGCCCUUUGUUACUUUUCCUUGUCCGGGGCAUAACUUGAAAACUACUGGUUGGAAUUCAAAACAACUUCAUACAAUUGUCAAACACAAUGAGAGGAAGUGCAGUGCACAAGAACCAUAACUCUAUCUUGACUAAUUACAGAGUAAUUGCCCUUUGUUACUUUUCCUUGUCUGCCCUCUGUUACAUUUUCCUUGUCCGGAGCAUAACUUGAAAACUACUGGUUGGAAUUCAAAACAACUUCAUACAAUUGUCAAACACAAUAAGGGGAAGUGCAGUGCACAAGAACUAUAACUCUAUCUGAAGUAAUUACAGAGUUAUUGCCCUUUGUUACUUUUCCAUUGCUUUCUUUUGUCCGGACCAUAACUUGAAGACUAAUUGUUGGAAUUCAAUAUAACUACAUACACUGGUCAAGCACAUUGAGAGGAAGUGCAGUGCACAAGAACCAUAACUCUAUCUUGACUAAUUACAGAGUUGUUGCCCUUUGUUACUUUUCCUUGUCCGGGGCAUAACUUGAAAACUACUGGUUGGAAUUCAAAACAACUUCAUACAAUGGUCAAACACAAUGAGAGGAAGUGCAGUGCACAAGAACCCUAACUCUAUCUUGACUAAUUACAGAGUUAUUGCCCUUUGUGACUUUUCCUUGUCU